rnacentral:lncRNA from 1 species
GUGGAGCUGGAAAGGUGGAGGCGGAAGUGACUGAUCAAUUCAGGGGCGUGGGGUUCGUUUAGGUUUUGCCCUGUGUAUGACCUCGUUUGGAGCCAUGAAACCAGGUGGCUUUUCUACAAUAUAAAGAUGGAAAUGGGAAGAAGAUGUUCAUUGCAAAUUAAGGAAGCUCUUCCACGAGUUCACGAAUGGAAAUAACAUCAAGAGUUUUUCAUCUUCUUAGUGUGCAAGGUUAUUUUAGGGCAAUGAUGGAAAGCACCAAGUGGAGUCUGGAGCUAGACUGAUCUGUGUUCAAUCCUGUCUUGGUUACUCAUUGGGGGGCCUCGACUUUCAUGUCUCUGUAAUGUCCCUGACAGUAUCUGCCUCACAGGGUUGCUGUGAGAGUCAAGCGAGAUAAAUAUCAAGGAGUGCAAUUCCUGGAUUUAUGAUGUCUGAGGAAUAGUCUUAGUGGAUUAUCCCAAACUUGACACAUUUUUUGCAAAAUGCUAUACAAAAAGAAGAUACAUGCGAUUAUGACAAGAUUCUCCACUUGGUGUGACCAGUCUCAUACAACCCAAGGCUGUGUGUCCAAAGGCAACUGUACUGAAUACCGGAAAGCAUGUAUUUGUUUGCUAAAUUGCUCUCUUUCCACCAGUGAUAUCAAUUCUGAAAUACUUUUGAGAUCUUGACAAUAAUCAAAAGGUAGCCAGGUGCAUCGG